rnacentral:lncRNA from 1 species
AAAUGAAAACUACAGCAGCAAUGCAGUCCACAUAUCAAAUUCCUCUGACAGCAUGGGGGGGAAAAAGCCAGUUAAAAACAUUGAAGGCUGAAAUAUAGAAAAAAUAUCCUUGGAAAAAUGUGGCUUCAUGAAGCAAUAGGAGUUUAGAAGAAAGAAAUAGACUAUUUUGGUUUUGAGUGCAGGAAAAGACUUCAUGGUGAAACACAGAGGUAUUUAAAAUGUGAGUAGAUUAAAAGAAGGGGUAGAGUACAAUGUUCGGCGGAGAGAAUAAUAUCAGGGCAAGAAAUAUGCAAGGUCAGGUCGACCUUCACUGAAUUUAGAGGAAUGGAUGUUGCCAGAGAGAAGGAUGGAGUAGAAUUGAGGCUAAUGUGCUGAGAAGCAUGCAUCAAUCCAAGGGAAAGGGUCAGACGAGGAUGGAGCAUCCCUGCUACUCUGUGUGGAUGAAGGCACACUGGGAGCACGACAUGUGACUUCUGCUACUGCAGUCUAGGGUGAGCAAUGACAGCUGCAAACUCUAGGGACAGAGAAUUCAGGGAGAGGUGUGAGAGUCUCCAAACAACCAGGGCCACUUGCUCGGCCUCAAGUAACACCCAGAACUGUUCACUGGGACGCACAAACACUCUACGUUCACUGAUGAUAUACAAGAGAUUUUCUACCCUGAACCACUCGUGUGGCAGAACAAUCAAUAACGAAUAAGUCAGAUGCCUCAUCCCUAUAAAUGUAAUUACCCAAGAGGGCAGCAGCCCUGUCUCUGUGGGAGGAUAGGAGCCUUACUCCAACAAGCACAAAUGAGCAAACACUGAUGGCCCAAUCACACUAGCCAACUUCCCUCCUAACGACCUCCAGAACCAUCCUGCUAGCUCCCCCCAAGGCUUAAAUUCUCCUGCCUUUGGUUUGAGGUAAGUUGAGUCCAAGGGCUCUUCCUAUUACAGUAUUUUGACUCGUAUUGCAACAGUCUUCAAUAAACGUUUCCUUGACAUUUCUUGGAAGUCUUGCUGAAAUUUUUCUUUUACAAGAAAAGUAUAGAGUUGUUUUUUCUGUAUCUCUGUUUGUUCUGAACUCUGCUUACAAACAAAACCAGAAGGUAAGAGAUGAGAAAAGUACUCGUUUCCUUUUCUGAAGUUCUGUAUUUCUUCCUUUGCCACUAAAAGC